AAAGUCGUAACAAGGUAACCGUAGGUGAACCUGCGGUUGGAUCAUUACCGAUUGCUUUCACUCUCGCAUCUUGUCACAAGGUGCUUGAGAGUGACUGUAUCUACCUUUUGUGAACUGUCCUGUCUCUGGCGGCCGGGCUGGAUGCAAUACAAACCUAUUGCUCUGGUCUGUCAGCUUGGCUGGUCAUCACUGACCAGUUUGCAAGCCGUGGACAAACCGCCAAUGGCUUCGGCCAAAGAUCAACUUAAUGAUUGCCCCAUUUCCAGUCUGAAGUGAACCAUGUAUUUAAAUAUACAAACAACUUUUGGCAACGGAUCUCUUGGCUCUC
rnacentral:misc_RNA from 1 species